rnacentral:rRNA from 1 species
UGCGGGAAAACCGUGAUAAGGGGACACCGAGUGCCAGCGUCAUACGCUGGCUGUCCAGGUGUGUAAAAUACACCUGUUAGCAAGGGCCGGGCAAGACCGGUGCCAGCCGCCGCGGUAACACCGGCGGCCCGAGUGGUGAUCGUGAUUAUUGGGUCUAAAGGGUCCGUAGCCGGUUUGGUCAGUCCUCCGGGAAAUCUGAUAGCUCAACUAUUAGGCUUUCGGGGGAUACUGCCAGACUUGGAACCGGGAGAGGUAAGAGGUACUACAGGGGUAGGAGUGAAAUCUUGUAAUCCCUGUGGGACCACCUGUGGCGAAGGCGUCUUACCAGAACGGGUUCGACGGUGAGGGACGAAAGCUGGGGGCACGAACCGGAUUAGAUACCCGGGUAGUCCCAGCCGUAAACGAUGCUCGCUAGGUGUCAGGCAUGGCGCGACCGUGUCUGGUGCCGCAGGGAAGCCGUGAAGCGAGCCACCUGGGAAGUACGGCCGCAAGGCUGAAACUUAAAGGAAUUGGCGGGGGAGCACAACAACGGGUGGAGCCUGCGGUUUAAUUGGACUCAACGCCGGACAACUCACCGGGGACGACAGCAAAAUGUAGGCCAGGCUGAAGACCUUGCCUGAAUCGCUGAGAGGAGGUGCAUGGCCGUCGCCAGUUCGUACUGUGAAGCAUCCUGUUAAGUCAGGCAACGAGCGAGACCCA